GGUAGCUUGAAAUUCAGGUGCAGCUGGACUUUCUUCUGAGCUAUAAGCAUAUUUAUUUAGUCCCUUAACACGGAUUAUUACUUUUGCUGCAGCUAACAUAAAGGUUGAUUGUCCUUGUGCUGACUGAUGCAGGAAUUCGCAGGUCUCUAAGAUCUGUCAAUCUCGAUCUCAAAUCAAGUAAGACUACCCGCUGAACUUAA
rnacentral:misc_RNA from 1 species